rnacentral:rRNA from 1 species
CCUACGGUUGGCUGCAGUGAGGAAUAUUGGUCAAUGGACGGAAGUCUGAACCAGCCAAGUAGCGUGAAGGAUGACUGCCCUACGGGUUGUAAACUUCUUUUAUAAAGGAAUAAAGUGAGGCACGUGUGCCUUUUUGUAUGUACUUUAUGAAUAAGGAUCGGCUAACUCCGUGCCAGCAGCCGCGGUAAUACGGAGGAUCCGAGCGUUAUCCGGAUUUAUUGGGUUUAAAGGGAGCGUAGAUGGGUUGUUAAGUCAGUUGUGAAAGUUUGCGGCUCAACCGUAAAAUUGCAAGUGAUACUGGCAGUCUUGAGUACAGUAGAGGUAGGCGGAAUUCGUGGUGUAGCGGUGAAAUGCUUAGAUAUCACGAAGAACUCCGAUUGCGAAGGCAGCUUACUAGACUGCCACUGACAUUGAUGCACGAAAGUGUGGGUAUCGAACAGGAUUAGAUACCCCAGUAGUC